AUGUCAUCCAGUUUUUCAAUGUUUUCACCACUCUGACCACAACACAAACUCUCGAGAGUUGCGUAACGAAAUUGCUUCAGUUUACAAAGAAAACGACAUUCGUUGACGCUCUUCUUGUGCUGUCGGUCGUUACAAAGCGUAAUGAUUUCACAAAACAAAUAGAAUUCAUUAAGAACAAUAACGCACCGCAAUAUACUACACAAAAUCCAGUGACAAAGGGCCCGAACGGAACAAAAUCUCCUAACGGACCUCACGGCUCCAC